AUUGGGCAAUGCCCGAAAGGGUGACCCAGCAACGCCGCGUGGAGGAUGAAGGUCGUAAGAUUGUAAACUCCUGUUAGAGGGGAAGAAUAACUAAGUUUGGAGCUUAGUAUGACUGUACCCUCAGAGAAAGCCCCGGCUAACUACGUGCCAGCAGCCACGGUAAUACGUAGGGGGCAAGCGUUGUCCGGAUUUACUGGGUGUAAAGGGCGCGCAGGCGGAAUGGAAAGUCAGUGGUGAAAUCCUACAGCUUAUCUGUAGAACUGCCUUUGAUACUUUCAUUCUUGAGUUCGGGAGAGAGAGACGGAAGUCCAGGUGUAGUGGUGAAAUACGUAGAUAUCUGGAAGAACACCAGUUGCGAAGGCGGUCUCUUGGUCCGAUACUGACGCUGAGGCGCGAAAGCGUGGGGAGCA
rnacentral:rRNA from 1 species